UACGUAGGGUGCAAGCGUUGUCCGGAAUUAUUGGGCGUAAAGAGCUCGUAGGCGGUCUGUCGCGUCGGCUGUGAAAACCCGGAGCUCAACUCCGGGCCUGCAGUCGAUACGGGCAAACUGGAGUGUUGCAGGGGAGACUGGAAUUCCUGGUGUAGCGGUGAAAUGCGCAGAUAUCAGGAGGAACACCUAUUGCGAAGGCAGCUCGCUGGGACGUAACUGACGCUGAGACGCGAAAGCGUGGGGAGCAAACAGG
rnacentral:rRNA from 1 species